UACGUAGGGGGCUAGCGUUGUCCGGAUUUAUUGGGCGUAAAGGGCGCGUAGGCGGGCCCGUAUGUCGAUUGUGAAAGCCCUGGGCUUAACCCGGGAAUGGCAGUCGAAACUGCGGGUCUUGAGUGCCUGAGAGGAUGGCGGAAUUCCCGGUGUAGAAGUGAAAUUCGUAGAUAUCGGGAAGAACACCUGAGGCGAAGGCGGCUAUCUGGCGGCGCACUGACGCUGAGGCGCGAAAGCGUGGGGAGCAAACAGG
rnacentral:rRNA from 1 species